CUCUUUCUAAAGUUGCCAUUUAUAAUUAGCAUAUUUAGUUAUAACAAGAUACGGUCAUCACAGUGUCCUGAACUGGGUGGGUGCCCCUGUCCCACUGGGAGGCUGGGUGGUCGUCCCUUCGUCUCCCUGAUGCUGAGUAUGUACAUGGCCAGCCUGGACCCACGGCCCGCCCCCAUCAGCCUGCCAUGCCAAUCCCAGCUCUGGGCAGGGCAGGGUUUAGCCCCUUUUGCAGAACACGCAAGAGGUGUGGCUCAGGUCACACAGCUGGUGGGUGGCACAGGCCUAGCGGUCCCUGCUCCUUACGUGGACAGAGGCAUCCAGGAAGCAGCACAGCCCGCAUGGGGCUUUGCUCGUCGGGGCCCUGCUCUGAGCUGGCGGCCCUCAGGGUCAGGUCCCCUGCUGGGGGUGCCUCCCUCAUUCCUGCAGAGCUGGACUCCCAGGGCCUGGGCAGGCUGCCAGUGCAGGGAACUAGCAGGCAGGCACACUGUUGGCUCUAGAAAGUGUCACUGUUCCUGGGCCGGUCCGCAGGGCUGGAGGGCCUGGACAUGACAGCAGAGACAGGAGCUGGGAGCUGAGAAUGCCCCUCUCCCAGGGCCCAGCAGCUCUGGGCCUGGCCCACGGGCUUCCUUUGGCAGGGAGGGCCUGAGCUCUGUCCACACCACCUUCCCUUGCUGGGCCUGAGCUCUCACCUUGCUCCCCACCAGCUCUUUGCGGCCGAGUACACGCUCUUGGCAAUGACGUCCAUUUAACCUGCUCUGCAGAAGACAGGACGGUUGGGCAGGCAGACUCGGCCAGCAGCUCGGUGGGAGAUGGGGUGAGGGCCCUAGGCUCGGGCUUCUCUGCCCAUAUUCUUUGGGGAGCUGGCCCUAAGCUACCUUGCUUACCUGGGUCAGAAAUAACCUCAGCUCAACUGAAAGCCUAGAGCUUUCAGUCAGGAUGAGGGCAGAGCUUUGAGUUCCUGGAGUUGGUGGGCGUUUGCCCAGGAGCCAGGUCAGGGGCAGCCACUUAGCCGGGGUCUUGGGUAAAGCCCCCUCCCCUCCAAGCCUGUUGCCUUGUUUGUUUAAUGGACAUAAUAGUGCCCUGUAGGCGUAUGUCCACUUUCUAGGCAUAUUCUGAACAGGUAGGAUGUUGUGGCUCCCUGUCCCUCCCCUUCCAGGAGGCCACUUCAUCAGGGAAGCCGGGGAGGUGUCUGACGUGGAGAACAUGCUCAUUCCAUGCUGGUUGCAGUGCAUUGCAGUGCUCAGGAAGUGAGUGUAGGUCUCCAGGCGUUGGACAGUGUCUUCUGUCCGUGAUCUCUACAAAGAUGACCUUUUCUUCAGUCCUCUCUCUGGCCCUCCUGCCCUGUUAGGAUGGUGGUUCUGGACUGAGAAGCUGUCCUCCUUGCCCCUUUGCCCUGUGUGCCUCUCUGGUCUGGCCCCGCCGAGGCCCAGGGAGCCAUCCUUCCCCUCCUUGGGGUUCAUCUUACAAGUCCGGAUGCCAUCAGCUCCAAGGAGUUCCCUCUGGGCCAGAGCUCCUCCCUCCUCCGCCAGCCUCCUUGGGGUGCAGACAGACAGCCCAGCACAGGCCGGAAGGGCUUUCUGUUUGCCUUGGCUGGUGGGGAAGAGAUUAGCUGCUCGCUUUCUGUUUUGACUGUUGUAUCUAACCAACACAGAGCCUGUGACAUCGCGGAAAAGCAGCCUUGGGUCUUGAAUGAGUUUGGGGCCUGUCCCUGAUGGCCUGGCCCCUGCAGAGAUGUCUGGAGGGGAUGACUUCUCCCCACCUCCUGGGAUUCACAUGGGGCCACUCCCCAUCCACUGGCUUUAGAGGCAGGCGUGUGUCCCAAGCUGGACACUGAGACUCCGUCUUGGGACGUUUGCAGCAACUAUGGGAAAAGAGGCAUUCACUUUUCAUGGGAGUUGCCACGUUGAUGGAACUCCUGCUCUCCACUUGAGGACGGAGCCAAGUGGUAGAGAAAGUAUGCUGUCCCCAGACCUCAGUAAGCCCCUGGAUCCAGCCAUGCCUGAAGCUAACACACCUCUGGACUAACCUGAUUAUAUGAGCCAACGAAUGCAUUUCUUUUUUUCUAAAACUAUCCUGAGUUGGAUUUCCGUCAUAGAAAGGGUCCUAAUAAAGCUAUGUUUUUCUUUGGUCUCACUGAAGAAAUCAACUUUGAGGUAUCCACCCACUUUAAGUGUCUAAUUCAUAAGUUUUUUCAAACGUGUACAGCCUUGUAACUACCACCACAGUCGAGCUGUGGAACAUUUCAAGUUCCCUCAUUCCCCCUUAUGGUCAGUUCUCCUGACCCCAGGCAACCACUGACCUGCCUUUGUCCUAGAGCUUCGUUCAGUCUCCUCUCUGGUCAGGUCCCUGGAGGUCAGAUGCUCAUGUUGUGGGUCAAUGUGGGUCAUUUCCCUUGGGACUCAGAGUCACCCCUGGGUCCAAAUGCGCUGAAGCCAGAGGCACCUCUGGGUCCCACAGUUCUGUGGUCCAGUACAUCCUUUGCUUCAUUUGAGCCAGCUUGCCACAGAAGGAGUCCUGGCUAAUACAGCUCAGCCAGGACCGCACCCUUCGGUGAAGCUCCCCUCAAGGACCACCCCCCCCCCCCGCCCCGCAGGCAAAUUCAACCAUCGGUCCAGCUCACCUCCUGCUGGCCAGACACUAAUCAAAGAAGUAGAAAUGAAGGAUAAGUAAUUAAUAGAUGACCAGAUCUCUUUCCCAGCUUCCCCUGCAGUAAUCCCACGAGCAAACUGUGUGAACAAGAUAGCGUCUAAAGAAAAAUCACGAGAGGUCGACAAGCCUGCACACCGUGCGGGAUGGUGACGACUCUGACCCCCAUCUCAAUGAUGAACUGAGAUUACUUCCCUCUUUCCCCUUAAAAACUUCUAUGGCCGAGCAGAGUCUUUCUUUGGGGGGACACUGGUCCCCCGUCUCCCCAGAUUGCCGGCAUUCUGAUUAAAAGCAACUUUCCU